AUGAACGCUGGCGGCGUGCCUAAUCCAUGCAAGUCGAGCGAACAGAUGAGGAGCUUGCUCCUCUGACGUUAGCGGCGGACGGGUGAGUAACACGUGGAUAACCUACCUAUAAGACUGGGAUAACUUCGGGAAACCGGAGCUAAUACCGGAUAAUAUAUUGAACCGCAUGGUUCAAUAGUGAAGGACGGUUUUGCUGUCACUUAUAGAUGGAUCCGCGCCGCAUUAGCUAGUUGGUAAGGUAACGGCUUACCAAGGCAACGAUGCGUAGCCGACCUGAGAGGGUGAUCGGCCACACUGGAACUGAGACACGGUCCAGACUCCUACGGGAGGCAGCAGUAGGGAAUCUUCCGCAAUGGGCGAAAGCCUGACGGAGCAACGCCGCGUGAGUGAUGAAGGUCUUCGGAUCGUAAAACUCUGUUAUUAGGGAAGAACAAAUGUGUAAGUAACUAUGCACGUCUUGACGGUACCUAAUCAGAAAGCCACGGCUAACUACGUG
rnacentral:rRNA from 1 species